UCUCUUGUGCUCGGGCAAGUACUGUCACCAGUGAGGUCUAAACCGACGCAGUCUUUUGCUAAUUGAAAAUUAUCCAUACAAACCCGUCUACAGCUUCGACUUUUUGAUGACCCAUUAGCCAUGGC
rnacentral:snRNA from 1 species